rnacentral:rRNA from 1 species
UACGAAGGGGGCUAGCGUUGCUCGGAAUCACUGGGCGUAAAGCGCACGUAGGCGGUCCGCUAAGUCAGGGGUGAAAUCCUGGAGCUCAACUCCAGAACUGCCUUUGAUACUGGCAAUCUCGAGUCCGGGAGAGGUGAGUGGAACUGCGAGUGUAGAGGUGAAAUUCGUAGAUAUUCGCAAGAACACCAGUGGCGAAGGCGGCUCACUGGCCCGGUACUGACGCUGAGGUGCGAAAGCGUGGGGAGCAAACAGG